CCUCCGAAUAGUGCCACUCCCUGGGCCAAGCACAUUCAAACCACCACAGGGUCCAUCUUUGAUUCUCACGGACACAGCUAAUUGACAUGAAGAUCAGUGCCCAUCAUAGUAUGUACAAGUGUGGAGUGCCAUUGAGUUGUCCGUGGGAUCGGAUGCUAUGAUGGGCAGAAAGAACAUUUACAUGGUGCUUGAGGAGGACUCAGCGAUGGCUCCUGCCCUUGGUGCCCAGCACAGCAGAGCACAUGCCUAUGAUGGGCUUCCAAGACACACACUUCUACCCUGUGCUGAAGGGACAACUGAAACAGCUUGUUCCCAAGACAGCUAUGGGACACAAAGUUGGCGGUUGGUGUGGCUCCUGCAGGGAACCUGGCCACUCUCCAGCAAGCCUCCUGCUGGUGUUUCCCCAAAGGUGUGUGUUGUGUUGGAGUUUGGGGGCCCAAGUAAUUAGCCCCAAUCUAUAUUGAUGGCAUUUUAGAUUAGCGACAGCUGCGCCUGGCUUGUGUCCCGUGCGUGCAGUAGGGACACAGAUGUAGAAGGGAAA
rnacentral:lncRNA from 1 species